CAGCCAUUGGUAACUUCUGCAUUUGCUCAAUUGUUGUGGGAACUAUAAACAUAUCUUUUUCAUCUAACACUCCACAUGCAUUCUUUUGCUACCCUAUUGUUUGUUGCUGAGAUCUUUAUCUCCCUUUAUGUUGGUAGAUGCUCUGGACAUUGAAAAAUGGAUGUUUGUUAGUGAAAGUCCUGAAACUUCUAUAGCAACAAGUUCAAUAUUGUUGGGUUUAUUACUCCUUGGAAGAGCAACGUUUGUUUUCCCCUUAUCCUACUUAUCCAACUUGACUAAAAAAUCACAACAUUAGAAGAUCUCCUUCAGACAGCAUGUGAUUAUUUGGUGGGCUGGUCUUGUGAGAGGUGUUGUUUCAAAGGAACUCAAGUACAAUCAGUUCACUAUGUUGGGGCAUACUCAACUGCACAACAUUCAUCUGUGGGUGAUUAUGUUGGUUUGUUUUAAGUGGUUGACUUUGAGCUGGACCACUAAGCAUGUAGCCCAUACAUUUGACUAUGUUAUUCCCAAUCUAAUUCACUUAGUGCUGACCAAUUUCUUACAUAAAGAGAAGAGAAGCUGAGGAGUUUGUUUACAACAACUGAACUUUUGAA